GGUAUCUCAGCAUCUUCCUCCAUCUCCAUCACUACAAAGUCCACCGGGAAUUGAAGCUUAUCAAUGUUCACCAUGACGUCUUCUACCACACCAUAAGGGUAUUUGAUGGACCUAUCUGCCAAUUGAAGCAUCAUUCGUGUUGGCUUGGCUUCAAGAUCACCAAUCUUUUUAAGCAUAGAUAAGGGCAUCAGGUUGAUGCUAGCCCCUAAAUCAAUAAGAGCUUUCCCUAUAUCAUGGUUUCCAAUGGUGCAUGGGAUGGUGAAACUCCCC
rnacentral:lncRNA from 1 species